UACAGAGGGGGCAAGCGUUAUUCGGAAUUAUUGGCGUAAAGGGCGCGUAGGCGGCCAUUCAAGUGACGGGUGAAAGCCCUCGGCUUAACCGAGGAACUGCCUGUCAGACUGGAUGGCUUGAGACCGGGAGAGGUGAGUGGAAUUCCAGGUGUAGCGGUGAAAUGCGUAGAUAUCUGGAGGAACACCGGUGGCGAAGGCGGCAUCCUGGACCGGCAUUGACGCUGAGGCGCGGAAAGCCAGGGGAGCAAAGCGGGG
rnacentral:rRNA from 1 species